UCUGUCGAACUGCUUUGCUUUAUCUUGGCCAGGUUGCAGUUGUAAAUGAGAACUUGUUCUCAACUUGCCUACCUGGUUAAAUAAAGGUGUUCUCAACCAGCCUACCUGGUUAAAUAAAGGUGUUCUCAACUAGCCUACCUGGUUAAAUAAAGGUGAAAUAAAUAAAAUAAAAUAAAUAAAAAUCCUCUGUCCUGAAUGUUCUGUUAGUUCCUGGUAUCAUCUGUCCUGUUCUGUUAGUUCCUGGUAUCCUCUGUCCUGAAUGUUCCGUUAGUUCCUUGUAUCGGCUGUCCUGUUCUGUUAGUUCCUGGUAUCCUCUGUCCUGUUCUGUUAAUUCCUGGUAUCCUCUGUCCUGAAUGUUCUGUUAGUUCCUGGUAUCCUCUGUCCUGUUCUGUUAGUUCCUGGUAUCCUCUGUCCUGAAUGUUCUGUUAGUUCCUGGUAUCCUCUGUCCUGACUGUUCUGUUAGUUCCUGGUAUCCUCUGUCCUGACUGUUCUGUUAGUUCCUGGUAUCCAAUCCUCGACUUUGGCGAUGUCAUUUACAAAAUAGCCUCCAAUACCCUACUCAACAAAUUGGAUGCAGUCUAUCACAGUGCAAUCCGUUUUGUCACCAAAGCCCCAUAUACUACCCACCAUUGCGACCUGUACGCUCUCGUUGGCUGGCCCUCGCUUCAUACUCGUCGCCAAACCCACUGGCUCCAUGUCAUCUACAAGACCCUGCUAGGUAAAGUCCCCCCUUAUCUCAGCUCGCUGGUCACCAUCGCAUCUCCCACCUGUAGCACACGCUCCAGCAGGUAUAUCUCUCUAGUCACCCCCAAGACCAAUUCUUUCUUUGGCCGCCUCUCCUUCCAGUUCUCUGCUGCCAAUGACUGGAACGAACUACAAAAAUCUCUGAAACUGGAAACACUUAUCUCCCUCACUAGCUUUAAGCACCAACUGUCAGAGCAGCUCACAGAUUACUGCACCUGUACAUAGCCCACCUAAAAUUUAGCCCAAACAACUACCUCUUUCCCCACUGUAUUUAAUUUAUUUAUUUAUUUUGCUCCUUUGCACCCCAUUAUUUUUAUUUCUACUUUGCACAUUCUUCCACUGCAAAUCUACCAUUCCAGUGUUUUACUUGCUAUAUUGUAUUUACCUUGCCACCAAGGCCUUUUUUGCCUUUACCUCCCUUAUCUCACCUCAUUUGCUCACAUCGUAUAUAGACUUGUUUAUACUGUAUUAUUGACUGUAUGUUUGUUUUACUCCAUGUGUAACUCUGUGUCGUUGUAUCUGUCGAACUGCUUUGCUUUAUCUUGGCCAGGUUGCAGUUGUAAAUGAGAACUUGUUCUCAACUUGCCUACCUGGUUAAAUAAAGGUGUUCUCAACCAGCCUACCUGGUUAAAUAAAGGUGUUCUCAACUAGCCUACCUGGUUAAAUAAAGGUGAAAUAAAUAAAAUAAAAUAAAUAAAAAUCCUCUGUCCUGAAUGUUCUGUUAGUUCCUGGUAUCAUCUGUCCUGUUCUGUUAGUUCCUGGUAUCCUCUGUCCUGAAUGUUCCGUUAGUUCCUUGUAUCGGCUGUCCUGUUCUGUUAGUUCCUGGUAUCCUCUGUCCUGUUCUGUUAAUUCCUGGUAUCCUCUGUCCUGAAUGUUCUGUUAGUUCCUGGUAUCCUCUGUCCUGUUCUGUUAGUUCCUGGUAUCCUCUGUCCUGAAUGUUCUGUUAGUUCCUGGUAUCCUCUGUCCUGUUCUGUUGGUUCCUGGUAUCCUCUGUCCUGA
rnacentral:lncRNA from 13 species